AUUGAACGCUGGCGGCAGGCCUAACACAUGCAAGUCGAACGAGUGGCGGACGGGUGAGUAAUGUCUGGGAAACUGCCUGAUGGAGGGGUAUAACUACUGGAAACGGUAGCUAAUACCGCAUACCAUCGGAUGUGCCCAGAUGGGAUGAGCUAGUAGGUGGGGUAAAGGCUCACCUAGGCGACGAUCCCUAGCUGGUCUGAGAGGAUGACCAGCCACACUGGAACGGAGACACGGCCCAGACUCCUACGGGAGGCAGCAGUGGGGAAUAUUGCACAAUGGGCGAAAGCCUGAUGAAGCCAUGCCGCGUGUAUGAAGAAGGCCUUCGGGUUGUAAAGUACUUUUAGUGGGGAGGCGUUACCCGCAGAAGAAGCACCGGCUAACUCCGUGCCAGCAGCCGCGGUAAUUC
rnacentral:rRNA from 1 species